AACGUAGGUCCCGAGCGUUAUCCGGAUUUACUGGGCGUAAAGCGUGUGUAGGCGGGUCGUUAAGUACCUUGUGAAAUCCCACGGCUUAACCGUGGAACUGCUCGGUAUACUGGCGAUCUUGAGCCACUUAGGGGUCAGCGGAACAAAUGGUGGAGCGGUGAAAUGCGUAGAUAUCAGUCGGAACACCGGUGGCGAAGGCGGCUUCUUGGGCCUUACCUGACGCUGAGACGCGAAAGCGUGGGGAGCGAACCGG
rnacentral:rRNA from 1 species